AAUAUGGCUAGGCUGGGGGGUUAGGCGUCCCUUGUAAUCUGAAACCGCCUUUAUGCAGAAGCCGAAAACUUGGGAGAGGUAUGUAUAUUUACCAUUCAUUCCUGAGCUUUGUGGUGAUAUUUCGUCCUAUGGGGUAUAGGUGGUAAGGGAGCUCCAUCUGUAGGGAUGGAGAAAACUCUUUUUAUUUGCCGAACCCCGCCAGGUCCGGAAGGGAGCAACGGUAGGCGGAACUCCGACGCCCAUAGGGUAGCGGAAUUGAACAGAACUUAGGGGCAAUGGAUGGUAAAUUGCAUAUCCAUCCCAAGGAAGCCACUUU
rnacentral:SRP_RNA from 17 species